rnacentral:lncRNA from 1 species
UGCCUUUCACCUUCUGCCAUGAUUGUAAGGCUUCCCCAGGCCCGUGGAACUGGGAGGAGCCGGAAGAGAGCAGUGCUUCACAAUAAAAGGAAGAAUUGCUUGAACGGAGGCGUUUCAGGCAUGAGUCACAGGCCGGGUGUGGAAGAGGAAAGUGUGAAGCAAGGGACAGGUACCAGCUGGGAUGUUGGCAGCAGCCGCUCCCCUGCAAGGAGAACCUCCCACUUCCUGUCCCGCACACCUGCCUCAUUGGAAAGUGACGCACCCACUGUUUGGCCUCGGCAGCCUGAUGUUUCUCAUCACACAGGAAGACGGUCAUGCUACAGGAAGACCUCGGACUUUGCAUCCAGCAGAUGGUUGUUCUAGAGAUUGUCAGACCGAGACCACGCCACACACCCAGAAGGCACCCAAGUCACAGAGCCUGAUAUUGUUCCUGGAGCGCCAUUGCAUCAUCCUUGACCACAAGAUCUGCGUCAUUGGAUUUGUCUCAAAAACUUGGGACUCUGGAGAUAAAACCUCAUUGCAAGGCUACCUUUGCCACUGUAUCUUAGCAGCUUUUGAAGCAAAGCAUUUCAAUAUUUAGACACUGUGUUUCUAAUGGGUACUGGGAUCAAAAUAAUAAAAACUCAGUCUGCAAAGGGAGAAAAAAAAAAAAAAAAAAAAAA